rnacentral:rRNA from 1 species
CAGCCGCCGCGGUAAUACGUAGGUGGCAAGCGUUGUCCGGAUUUAUUGGGCGUAAAGCGAGCGCAGGCGGAAGAAUAAGUCUGAUGUGAAAGCCCUCGGCUUAACCGAGGAACUGCAUCGGAAACUGUUUUUCUUGAGUGCAGAAGAGGAGAGUGGAACUCCAUGUGUAGCGGUGGAAUGCGUAGAUAUAUGGAAGAACACCAGUGGCGAAGGCGGCUCUCUGGUCUGCAACUGACGCUGAGGCUCGAAAGCAUGGGUAGCGAACAGGAUUAGAUACCCGUGUAGUCCCUGUCUCUUAUAC